CCCAGUGUUGCUUAAUUGGUCGAGCAUGACACUUUCAAUGCCAAGUUGUGGGUUUGAUUCCCAUUCCUUGCU